rnacentral:rRNA from 1 species
GUGCACAUUAGGAAAUGAGUGUGUAUUGACGGUACCCAAUUAGAAAGCCCCGGCUAACUACGUGCCAGCAGCCGCGGUAAUACGUAGGGGGCAAGCGUUAUCCGGAAUUAUUGGGCGUAAAGAGUGCGUAGGCGGAAUGUUAAGUCAUUUGUAAAAGAUCUCAGCCUAACUGAGUAAGGCGAAUGAAACUGGCAAUCUUGAAUACAGUAGA